AGCCUCCGUUUAUGUUGUGAUCAGCUUUGAUCAGCUCUUCAACUUGAGAGUUUGAUCCUGGCUCAGAGCGAACGCUGGCGGCAGGCUUAACACAUGCAAGUCGAGCGGGCCCUUCGGGGUCAGCGGCAGACGGGUGAGUAACGCGUGGGAACGUGCCCUUCGGUUCGGAAUAACUCAGGGAAACUUGAGCUAAUACCGGAUACGCCCUUAUGGGGAAAGGCUUGACUGCCGAAGGAUCGGCCCGCGUCUGAUUAGCUAGUUGGUGAGGUUAUGGCUCACCAAGGCGACGAUCAGUAGCUGGUCUGAGAGGAUGAUCAGCCACACUGGGACUGAGACACGGCCCAGACUCCUACGGGAGGCAGCAGUGGGGAAUAUUGGACAAUGGGGGCAACCCU
rnacentral:rRNA from 1 species